GAUGAACGCUAGCGGCAGGCUUAAUACAUGCAAGUCGAGGGACAGCACAGGUAGCAAUACUGGGUGGUAACCGGCAAACGGGUGCGGAACACGUACACAACCUUCCUUUAAGUGGGGGAUAGCCCAGAGAAAUUUGGAUUAAUACCCCGUAAUAUAGUUGAAUGGCAUCAUUUGAUUAUUAUAGCUACGGCGCUUAAUGAUGGGUGUGCGGCUGAUUAGAUAGUUGGCGGGGUAACGGCCCACCAAGUCUACGAUCAGUAGCUGAUGUGAGAGCAUGAUCAGCCAAACGGGCACUGAGACACGGGCCCGACUCCUACGGGAGGCAGCAGUAAGGAAUAUUGGUCAAUGGACGCAAGUCUGAACCAGCCAUGCCGCGUGAAGGAUUAAGGUCCUCUGGAUUGUAAACUUCUUUUAUUUGGGACGAAAAAGGGUCUUUCUAGGUCAACUGACGGUACCAGAUGAAUAAGCACCGGCUAACUCCGUGCCAGCCGCCGCGGUAAGAC
rnacentral:rRNA from 1 species